UGAGGAAUAUUGGUCAAUGGGCGCAAGCCUGAACCAGCCAUCCCGCGUGCAGGAAGACGGCGCUAUGCGUUGUAACCUGCUUUUCCAGGGAGAGAAACUUGCGCACGUGUUGCGCAAUUGACGGUACCCUGGGAAUAAGCAUCGGCUAACUCCGUGCCAGCAGCCGCGGUAAUACGGAGGAUGCGAGCGUUAUCCGGAUUCAUUGGGUUUAAAGGGUGCGUAGGCGGACUAUUAAGUCAGUGGUGAAAUCCUGCAGCUUAACUGCAGAACUGCCAUUGAUACUGAUAGCCUUGAGUUUGGUUAAGGUAGGCGGAAUGUGUAAUGUAGUGGUGAAAUGCUUAGAUAUUACACAGAACACCAAUUGCGUAGGCAGCUUACUGAGCCGACACUGACGCUGAGGCACGAAAGCGUGGGAAUCGAACAG
rnacentral:rRNA from 1 species